GUCAGACGUCAGUGAGUUAGCAAAAUUCCAGCCAUUUCAGUGCCAACAAUCUGCAGCUUUUUCCAGACAUUUUUCUUUAUCCGACGUGCGGCGUCCCGGUGGCUACUUGGUUCGGCGGGACAACAAAUGUGUGGGUGUUUUUUCUAAGGGGUCUCAAGCAGAUUGGUCAAAAUUGAUCACAACUGGUGUGACAAGGUCUUGGAUUUGUUCGAAACGGCCGGCUUUGGCUAGACGCCGUACGCCAACAUCCGGAUGACCACCGCGAGCAGCGGCCACAUUAAUCGCAAACCAGUUCGACGAACCGCCGGCCGAAAAUUCCAAACAAAUCUAGCAACUUGUUCCAGAGGACGCGUACUAGACUGGCGGGCUGGCACCUGCCUGGCCUCCUUCCCCACCGUUUGAGCGUCCAAAAUAAAACGGAUGCCCAAAAAAGUUCCCUGAAAGGCAAAAAAAAUAAAAAUUAUAAC